AACGUACGCUGGCGGCACGCUUAACACAUGCAAGUCGAACGAAGUAGCAAUACUUAGUGGCAGACGGGUGAGUAACAUGUGGGUAUCUGCCCUUUGGCCUGGAAUAACACGAGGAAACUUGUGCUAAUACCGGAUAAGUCUUUACGGAGAAAGCUUUAUGCACCAUUGGAUGAGCCCGCACUUGAUUAGUUUGUUGGUGGGGUAAUGGCCUACCAAGACUGUGAUCAAUAGCUGAUUUGAGAGGAUGAUCAGCCACAUUGGGACUGAGACACGGCCCAAACUCCUACGGGAGGCAGCAGUGGGGAAUCUUGCACAAUGGAGGAAACUCUGAUGCAGCGAUGCCGCGUGAGUGAAGAAGGCCCUUGGGUUGUAAAGCUCUUUCGUCGGGGAAGAAAAUGACUGUACCCGAAUAAGAAGGUCCGGCUAACUUCGUGCCAGCAGCCGCGGUAAUACGAAGGGACCUAGCGUAGUUCGGAAUUACUGGGCUUAAAGAGUUCGUAGGUGGUUGAAAAAGUUAGUGGUGAAAUCCCAGAGCUUAACUCUGGAACUGCCAUUAAAACUUUUCAGCUAGAGUAUGAUAGAGGAAAGCAGAAUUUCUAGUGUAGAGGUGAAAUUCGUAGAUAUUAGAAAGAAUACCAAUUGCGAAGGCAGCUUUCUGGAUCAUUACUGACACUGAGGAACGAAAGCAUGGGUAGCGAAGAGGAUUAGAUACCCUCGUAGUCCAUGCCGUAAACGAUGUGUGUUAGACGUUGGAAAUUUAUUUUCAGUGUCGCAGCGAAAGCGAUAAACACACCGCCUGGGGAGUACGACCGCAAGGUUAAAACUCAAAUGAAUUGAUGGGGACCCGCACAAGUAGUGGAGCAUGUGGUUUAAUUCGAAGAUACGCGCAGAACCUUACCAACACUUGACAUGUUCGUCGCGACUCUAAGAGAUUAGAGUUUUCGGUUCGGCCGGACGAAACACAGGUGCUGCAUGGCUGUCGUCAGCUCGUGUCGUGAGAUGUUGGGUUAAGUCCCGCAACGAGCGCAACCCUCACUUUUAGUUGCCAUCAUUAAGUUGGGCACUCUGAAAGAACUGCCAGUGAUAAGCUGGAGGAAGGUGGGGAUGACGUCAAGUCCUCAUGGCCCUUACGUGUUGGGCUACACACGUGCUACAAUGGUAUCUACAACAGGAAGCAAGACUGCGAGGUCAAGCAAAUCCUUAAAAGAUACCUCAGUUCGGAUUGCACUCUGCAACUCGAGUGCAUGAAGCUGGAAUUACUAGUAAUCGUGGAUCAGCGUGCCACGGUGAAUGCGUUCCCGGGUCU
rnacentral:rRNA from 1 species